rnacentral:rRNA from 1 species
CACGUAUGGAGCAAGCGUUAUCCGGAUUUACUGGGUGUAAAGGGAGCGUAGACGGUUUGCCAAGUCUGAUGUGAAAGGUGUGGACUCAACCCGCAAACUGCAUUGGAAACUGGUAGACUGGAGUGUCGGAGAGGUAAGUGGAAUUCCUAGUGUAGCGGUGAAAUGCGUAGAUAUUAGGAGGAACACCAGCGGCGAAGGCGGCUUGCUGGACGAUAACUGACGCUGAGGCUCGAAAGCGUGGGGAGCAAAC